CCCCUCUCAGUCACACCUGGAGAGUUUCCAAUAAUCUGCCAGUCUCGACCAUGGGAGGAAGAGUCAAGCAGAGGCAUAUCCAUUCCAUUCCUAGCUUAAGCGGUGGCUAGUGAGUGAAAGAUAAUCUGCUACAAGU